UGUUCUCAUCUGCCCCAGUUUGGAUUUCAUGUGCCCUUAUACUCACAGUAGCACAUGUGUGUACCUGCUACCCAUUGAUUCCAUUUAGUUUGUUCCUAGGAUUCUAUGUGUGGACUUCUAAGCUAUAGCCACACCCUUUAGCUUACUUCCUUGAAGCAUUAGAAACAGUCUGUUUUAUUAAGAUGGUUGUUUUAUUUUUUUUUUAAUUUGAGUAAGAUCUGAGAAUUAAAAAUGACAGAUCUCACAAUACAGUUAGAUAUAUCAAGAACACAGAUACCUGGCAGGAAAUGAUGCUAUGUAGGUAGCUUGGGACCACAUCUUAAGGGUUAUGUAUGCCAUUUCAAAAAGCAGGCCCUUAUCCUGAAGUUAAUGGGCAGUCCUGGAAUAUUCACAAGCAAGGAAGAGAAAUGAUCAGACCUACCUUCUACAGCAAAACUUACAGGCCUACUCAGCUACUCUCCAAUACUUGGCUUCCCGUGUAGUAUGUUUGGAGGGAGAAAGUGCACGGAUCUUCUGAUAAAGACAGCGAGCACGAGCACGGGAGGAGCAGUGAGAGAAGGAGAGAGAGACUCCCAAGCAGACUCAGCAGUGCCCGAUGCAGGGCUGGAAUUCACCAACCAUGACAUCAUGACCCGAGCUGAAACCAAGAGUCGGACACUCAACCAACUGAGCCACCCAGGCACCACUAAAAUUUUAUAUUCUGCUUUUAAAAAGUGUUUUUGUUGUCGAACAAUAAAACAGGUACUGUUGAUUAUGUACU